UAUGGCUCCUCAAAACUUGUUAUUCUUCUGUCAACUCUGCCCAGUACCCUGUUGCCUUUUAAAUGUUUAAUAUGCCUCUCUCUAACCAGCUGCUUCUCCCUGUUUUUUAUUUUUUCUGCACCGCCUUGUACCCCAUUACUUUUAAAAUUUAAUUUCUAUGUUUUCCCCUCUCUGUCUCCCUGACCCUAUAUUUUAAUUCUUCCCUCUUUGUCCUGUACCCAGUUGCUUGAGACUGGCUGGGCAUCGGUCAGUUGGUGGUUUCUUAUAGGCACCCUUUACAUACCAUGAAGUCUGCUAUAAGGUCUCCUGCAAAGCUGCAUGCCAGUGAGCGGUCCGAGAAGAUGUUGAAGACCAAUGUGUCACCUUGAGGAACAUCCCAGUUAGCCUGUGUGGUUUUUGUGGAGGAUGGACUCAGCCCCUCGGCCCUCUGAAAGCUACGUUGAGGGACCAGGGCUGGGGAGAGGCUGGGA